UACAGAGGUCUCAAGCGUUGUUCGGAUUCAUUGGGCGUAAAGGGUGCGUAGGCGGUGGGGUAAGUUUGAGGUGAAAGCUCCGGGCUCAACCCGGAAACUGCCUUGAAAACUAUCCGGCUUGAGGACUGGAGAGGAGACUGGAAUUCAUGGUGUAGCAGUGAAAUGCGUAGAGAUCAUGAGGAAGACCAGUGGCGAAGGCGGGUCUCUGGACAGUUCCUGACACUGAUGCACGAAAGCUAGGGGAGCAAACAGG
rnacentral:rRNA from 1 species